rnacentral:tRNA from 1 species
GGGGAUUUAGCUCAGUGGUAGAGCGCUUGCCUAGGAAGCGCAAGGCAGGCCCUGGGUUCGGUCCCCAGCUCCG